UACGGGGGGUGCGAGCGUUGUCCGGAAUCACUGGGCGUAAAGGGCGCGUAGGUGGUUUGAUAAGGGUGUGGUGAAAGCCCGGGGCUCAACCCCAGGUCUGCCGUGCCGACUGUCAAACUCGAGGGCUGUAGAGGCAGACGGAAUUCCGGGUGUAGCGGUGGAAUGCGUAGAGAUCCGGAGGAAGACCGGUGGCGAAGGCGGUCUGCUGGGCAGUUUCUGACACUGAUGCGCGACAGCGUGGGGAGCAAACAGG
rnacentral:rRNA from 1 species